rnacentral:lncRNA from 10 species
AAGAAAUCUACCUAUCCCUGCAUGAUUCCCUGAAGCAUUCAUUGGGUGUGGAGGAAGAAAUUGCUUCAGGCACUGAGUGAUCUGACCCAUGACCAGAAACCUGAAUCCAGCAAAGGACAAAGUUGCGCACAUUGCGUCAGAUACAAUUUCUGCCAUUUACCAGGAAGAACUAGGGGAACCAGGAGAAGGGCCACCUGCUUGGGGCGGGUGAGUCCAGGCGCCCAGAUGACUUGGGCCUUUUCUAAGAGUGACCGGAGGAAUGCUACCGUGGGACUGUGCAUUGAGGCCGCCCAUCGUCUGAGAUGUGGGGAGCUCCUCUGCCCCGCCGCCCUGUCUGGGAUGUGAGAAGCGCCUCUGCCCGGCCGCGACCCCGUCUGGGAUCUGAGGAGUGUCUCUGCCCGACCGCCACCCCAUCUGGGAGGUGAGGAGCGUCUCUGCCCGGCCGCCCCGUCUGAGAAGUGAGGAGCCCCUCCGCCUGGCAGCCGCCCCAUCUGGGAAGUGAGGAGCGUCUUGCCGGG